UACGAAGGGUGCAAGCGUUACUCGGAAUUACUGGGCGUAAAGCGUGCGUAGGUGGUGAGUUAAGUCUGUCGUGAAAGCCCCCGGGCUCAACCUGGGAAUGGCGAUGGAUACUGGCUCGCUAGAGUGCGGUAGAGGAGAGUGGAAUUCCCGGUGUAGCAGUGAAAUGCGUAGAGAUCGGGAGGAACAUCAGUUGCGAAGGCGGCUCUCUGGACCAGCACUGACACUGAGGCACGAAAAGCGUGGGGGAGCAAACAGG
rnacentral:rRNA from 1 species